CCAGCUCCUUAUGGUCUACUUUAAGGAGCCUACGGAGAAACUGAUGCUCGAAGUUGAUACCUGUGCCACUGCUGCUGAUGUAGUGAAUACUGCAGCACUCCCAAGCACCCCCUGCUUGAUCAUUCAAGGUGACACAAUGAAGCCUUCUGGGUGGAUGCUAUCCAUCGAGGGACAAGUGGUAAUGGGCCCACACCCAUU